AGCAGCCGCGGUAAUUCCAGCUCCAAUAGCGUAUAUUAAAGUUGUUGCAGUUAAAAAGCUCGUAGUUGAAUUUCGGGGUUAGCAGGUCGGUCGUGCCAUUGGUAUGAACUGGUCUCGCUGAUCCCUCCCUCUUGACGAACUGUGAUGCCAUUAAUUUGGUGUCGCAGGGAAUCAGGACUGUUACUUUGAAAAAUUAGAGUGUUUAAAGCAGGCUCACGCUUGAAUACAUUAGCAUGGAAUAAUGAAAUAGGACGUUUGAUCCUAUUUUGUUGGCUUCUAGGAUUGACGUAAUGAUUAAUAGGGAUAGUUGGGGGCAUUAGUAUUCAAUUGUCAGAGGUGAAAUUCUUGGAUUUAUUGAAAACUAACUACUGCGAAAGCAUUUGCCAAGGAUGUUUUCAUUAAUCAAGAACGAAAGUUAGGGGAUCGAAGACGAUCAGAUACCGUCGUAGUCUUAACCAUAAACUAUGCCGACUAGGGAUCGGAUGAUGUUAAUUUUUAAUGACUCAUUC
rnacentral:misc_RNA from 1 species